AUUUAUAGCCUAAGGUGCUGAAAAAUAAAGCUAAGAGAAUUCAAAAUUCCCUCCUAAAAACUAUUCAAAACCGGCGCCUAUUCCAUGCAUGAGGAAGGUGUGACUCUUUCCUUCACUUUGGCACCUCCUAUUCUACUCCUACACCUAUCUACUAAUACACCCCCCUAAAGCUCCUAACUAAAGCCUAAAAGAUGCUAAAACAAAAGAGGUUUC
rnacentral:lncRNA from 1 species